ACUGUUCCCGUGUCACUGUCCCCGUGUCCGGGUGUCACAGCCGUGUCCGGGUGUCACUGUCCCCGUGUCCCCCAGCAGGGCCACCCUGGGGCCACCAAACUCCUGUGGCGCCAUUUGGAGGGGUGACUUUGACCUGUGACGUCACCCCGAUGAUGUCAUCACUCCGUAAUGUCACCCCAAUGACAUCACUGCCCAAUGACAUCAUCCAAUGACAUCACAACCCCAAUGACAUCACCAUCCCAUGACAUCACCCUGAUGACAUCACCGCCCAAUGACAUCACCGCUCCAUGACGUCACCCUGAUGACAUCACAACCCAAUGACAUGAUCCAAUGACAUCACAACCUCAAUGAUAUCACCGUCCCAUGACGUCACCCUGAUGACAUCACCACACCAAUGACAUCAUCGCCCCAUGACAUCACCCCGAUGACAUCACCGCCCAAUGAUAUCACAGCCCAAUGACAUCACCCCAAUGACGUCACCCUAAUGACAUCACUUCCCAAUGACAUCACGCCCCCAUGACGUCACCCCAACGCCC
rnacentral:lncRNA from 1 species